rnacentral:rRNA from 1 species
GACGAACGCUGGCGGCGCGCCUAACACAUGCAAGUCGAACGAUAAAAGCCCUCUCUGGUGUGUAUCAAGAGGCGAUCGUCAGAGUAACACGAGGGCAAACCCCCCCCUUCAUUGUGAUAUCCCCCGCAAACCGUGGAUAAUACCCCAGACUUCCAGACCUCCGCCUGGAAGACUCGAGAAACCCCCGGCCGGGGGGGAUGGGCCCGCGGCCUGUUAGCUUGUUGGUGGGGUAACGGCCUACCAAGGCCAUGAUGGGUAGCCGGGUUGAGAGGGCGACCGGCCAGAUUGGGACUGAGACACGGCCCAGAGUCCUACGGGAGGCAGCAGUGGGGAAUCUUGCACAAUGGGCGGAAGCCUGAUGCAGCGACGCCGCGUGCGGGAUGAAGGCCUUCGGGUUGUAAACCGCUUUCAGCAGGGACGAGGCGAGAGUGACGGUACCUGCAAAAGAAGCCCCGGCUAACUACGUG